rnacentral:rRNA from 1 species
AAGCGGAGGAAAGAAACUAACAAGGAUUCCCCUAGUAACUGCGAGUGAAGCGGGAAAAGCUCAAAUUUAAAAUCUGGUGGUCUUUGGCCAUCCGAGUUGUAAUUUAGAGAAGCGUCUUCCGCGCUGGACCGUGCACAAGUCUCCUGGAAUGGAGCGUCAUAGAGGGUGAGAAUCCCGUCUUUGGCACGGAUGUACCAGGGCUUUUGUGAUGCGCUCUCGAAGAGUCGAGUUGUUUGGGAAUGCAGCUCAAAAUGGGUGGUGAACUCCAUCUAAAGCUAAAUAUUGGCGAGAGACCGAUAGCGAACAAGUACCGUGAGGGAAAGAUGAAAAGCACUUUGGAAAGAGAGUGAAACAGUACGUGAAAUUGUUGAAAGGGAAACGCUUGAAGUCAGUCGCGUCGACCGAGACUCAGCCUUGCCUCGGCUUGGUGUACUUCUCGGCUGACGGGUCAGCAUCAAUUUUGCCCCUUGGAUAAUGGCGAGGGAAAUGUGACACCUUUACGGUGUGUUAUAGUCUUUCGUCGCAUGCAAGGGUUGGGAUUGAGGAACUCAGCACGCGCCCUCGGGCGUCGGGGCUUUGCCCACGAUACGUGCUUAGGAUGUUGGCGUAAUGGCUUUAAACGACC